rnacentral:piRNA from 1 species
UGGGAAGGUGUCCCCACGCAAGGGAGUGGA